CGUCGCGAAUGCUGAUUGAAAAUUGAAAUUCAGCCGUGUAAAAUAAUGUCAACGGCGUGUCGAUAAAUUUGUGAGUACUAUGCCAAGCGUGAACGACAUACGAAGGUAUUUGAUCGAUCGCACGCAGUCAAUCGUGUUGCGAUACACGUGAGAUGUUCCCGGGCCUUCCGAGAGGACAAGGAUGAAGUCAGGUUGUUGGCGGCAGCAAGCCGCGGGCACAGGACUGCGGUCAGCCAAACCACCUGCGAACAGAACAGAAGAAAUUUUAUUAAAUCUACAAAAUCGCCGAAGCUUCGUGGAAACUUUUUAAUGAAAGCGUUUAAUAUUCAUUUAAAAAUUGGUUUCAAUAGAACAUCGAUCGAAUGCAUUAUCUUCUCGCAUAACUUCCGAUAUUAACAUUUAAAUUAUAUGCAAAUGCGUGAACUUCGCAUUCUGCAGUGUUAAAUAUUCAUUCAGGGAUGUACGCCAACUUUUUUUUAGCUAGGCAUUCUUGAUUCUCAGUCGCCGUUUCACGAUUUCAACACUCGAUGAUGAAAUCAUCUAAGUUACGAAUAUUCGAUUAAACCAUAAGUACCUUGCGUAACCGAGUAAUCGUCUAGAAAUACCUACGAAAUUGAAUUAAGCAACUGAUAGCAGUGAGCAGAUCGCACGAUCUGGCUUCUAAUUUCCGACGACAAGAUAUAUUCCGCAAUUAAGCCGAGAGUGUGGAAGGAGAAAGGGAGUGAAAGAGGGAGAGCGUAGUCGAACGCCGCGAGGCCUGUUUUGCAUAAAAAUUAUAAGCUGAAUUAAUGUUUUCACCUCCGUAAACGCGUACCCGUGAUCAUGUGCACCGCAUUUCGUGCCCGGCCGAUGCGUGACUAACACAGUGGUUUAUUGCACGUUAAUACCGAUCCGGUACCACCGGUACUUUCUCACGAGAUGUUCUCGCUCCACCCUUGCGAUCAGGUCCCCCAAAGAACACGAUCAUCAGCGUGGUAUAAAAUCUUUUUUCCAAAAAAAAAUGCUCUAUACAAAUUCCCUUGCGUAGUGACGUUACACAUUUUGAAACACCGACAUGUCUCAAUUAAAAAUCACAAGAUUGUAGAAAACUUUCGUUAUUUUAACGAGCAAUCAACCACCAUCGUAACAAGUUACCAGAUUAAAACAUGAAACGUUCCCAAGAAUGUAUACAAAACCCAACAAAAGAUUGCUUAUAUUAUCGAUCAUUCAAAACGUUUUAGCAGCUCUUUUAUUCAAUGAUCGAUGGAAACAGUGAUAAAUCAGAAUUUCAAGAGCAACGUCAGAAAUAAUCUCUCGGUUUCGUCGUUAGUGCACGACGUCUAGAAUAGCCAAGGGAACUCGGUUUGCGGAGAUUUAGAGAAAUGGGACAAUAAAAAAUGGUCGGCACUCUCCGGUCAGUUAAUUAAGCCAUCUCUUCUCGGGGUUGAGCCGGUUAGCUGUCUGGCGCCUCCGGUACGAGGAAAUCAUGUUUCGGAUCGAGCGGGUGUUCACACACAGCAGACCACACAUCGAGUUCUCGGAUCCUUAUCGGUUCGUUACCUCAUCGUCGGCCAAUCCCUUCUGGCAACGCGAUUUUAAUCGAUGCUCCUUAUGCCUUAUACGAAACGCGUCAUACACGCAACAUUAUGACGACGACUUAAUGAUAUUUUAUCGCUGAUUAACUGAACAUGCCGAUAUGCGGGAAUAAAUGCGUUUGCAAAACGGUACUUUGGGAGGCAUGUGCUCGUUCUGGAUUUUCUAUAUGAGUCUUAUAAAGAGGGUAUCGGAGUAGUCAUUUACGCAAGACUUAUCCGGCUCGUAUAGUAUCUAAGGGCUAAAACUAUUUUUCCUCCAUUAAUAUCCACUUUUACCAAACUGUGAUUAACUUGAUCAACAACAACUGCAUAUCGUUCUUAAAAUAGAGGUCAAUUUUAACAUAUGCAAUACAAUUUAAUGACACGUGACAUAUAACAAAUUUCCAGAUUAGACCAUAACGUUUAAAAAUACGCAUAUUUGGAAAUAGCGUGUCUUAAUCGUUAUCCUCACCUUAAUCAAAUCAAUCGGAGAUUGGUGAAAGUGACCCUAAACUCUCUAAAUAUAUGUUAUAAUAUGUACAUAAAUUUAUGACUGUGAAAACAUUGUUCUUGAUAUUCGACAACAGUGGCAGUUGAGCACUUCAUAUUAGAUAUUUGUCAAUUUGUGCAAACCUUUCCAAAUACGAAAAUACGAGAUUGAUAAUAAUUGAGACCUCUUCUUAUUGCGUUGGUUAAUGAUUCAAGUAAAUACUAUUGAUAAGAAUCCAUCCUGGCAUCUAAACAUUUCUCCGAUAGUAAUUUCGGUUAUUACUUCCAAGACCAUUAUUUUCAUUGAAGUAACCACUCAAUUAAAACCCUGAACUUUCAUCGCAUAAACCUGUUUUUAACACGCGAUGAGCGUUUCCCCAAGUUCGAACAUCUACCUACACGCCGAGAAAUUUAUACAAACUGCGUACAAAGUUGUUUCAAAAUAAAACAGCGCCAUUAAUUCCGGAUCUUAAAACACGUUGUAUCGUAACGUAGCGUUCGUUACUCUGUCCGGCGUUACCUGGUAAAAAGUAGCUCGUUUGCACCGGGCUUAAAGGAUUCUCUGUAUAUCCCAGGGUCUUAGCAAGUGAACAACCUCCAGAAACGCGCUAAUUAGCGUCUCGAAUUCGACGCGUCGUCCUCUUCCGCCUGAUAAUGAAACGCUCAGUCAGGCGGUAUGUGAAGCGCAUUUUCGAAAGUCGAAAUUAGCCGGUCGCUCGUUGCCAGUUUGCGUACAACACGAUCGUCGCGAGAUAUUCCCGAUGAAAGACGUUGGGAGUUCUCGUAGUGAUCCCUAAUUACGAGAUAAUCCCAUCGGAUUUUGCUAUCUUCGCUCGAUACUGAACCAGGCUGUGUUCCUUCACGAUUUUUAUCGAUCUACUUUUAAAACCGUAGACUGUAGAUUUACGAGAUUAACCAGAGUGAUAAAAAUAGCAUACUCUUAUUUUCUAAGCAUGCCGUUCGACUUGCGUACGAAUUCGUUUUUUGACCGCUUUCUGAACUUCAUCGAUUUUCGUUAACGGAUGGGAUUUCGUGUGAGAAAAAAAUAUGAGCCGAUCUGUUAGAAGAGAUGUCCUCUUUAUAAGAGGUCGAAUCCAAGGAUAGCUACUUAAAACGAUUCCCGAUGCACAAAUUGCAUACACGUAUACGCAAAGGCCAAACAGAGCAAAAAAUGUAAAAACCGACAAAUAUUAGAAAACUCAUGUAAUCACUGUAGCCCGGCAAGCGAAGAUUAGUACACAGUUUAGCUGUUCAAGUUCGAGAUAGCCUAUGUAUAUAUGAACCCUCGUGCAGGGUGAACCGGUAACGUUCAAACAGGCAAUGUUACUAUCGAGAGGACAGGACUUAUCGUCGUACUUUUUUAUGACUGUCCACGAAUGUAUCUGUACCCGCAAGCAAGGGAUUUGUUACCUGCCUGAUAUAACUUCAAAAUCACAAUACACACAUAGCUACUGGAUUAUCUCGACCAAUGAGAAUUUAUUUUACGGUGUGUGUCGGUGGUGUAUCGUUCGAGAACCGUUUCAAAUACUUUUAACAAGAGUUAUACAUGUAUUGUUACGUGAAACGUGUAUGGGAGUGAAACGAUAAAAUAAAGCAGCUAAUCAUUUCA